GGAAGCCGGGUUACGGUGCCCAACUGCGCGCUAACCUAGAACCCACAAAGGGUGUUGGUCGAUUAAGACAACUGGACGGUGGUCAUGGAAGUCGAAAUUUGCUAAGGAGUGUGUAAGAACUCACGUGCCAAAUCAACUAGCCCCGAAAAUGGAUGGUGCUGAAGCACGCGACCCAUACCAGGCCAUCGGGCGAGUGCCAUGCCCGGAUGACUAGGAGGGCACGGCGGCCGCUGAAAAACCCUAGGCGCGAGCCCGGGCGGGGCAGCCGUCGGUGUAGAUCUUGGUAGUAGUAGCAAAUAUU
rnacentral:ncRNA from 1 species